rnacentral:rRNA from 1 species
GGAUUAGAUACCCUGGUAGUCCACGCCCUAAACGAUGGUUACUAGAUAUCGGCACACGUGAGUGUCGGUGUCCAAGCGAAAGCGAUAAGUAGCCCACCUGGGGAGUACGCUCGCAAGGGUGAAACUCAAAGGAAUUGACGGGGGCCCGCACAAGCGGUGGAGCAUGUGGUUUAAUUCGAUGGUACGCGAGGAACCUUACCUAGGCUAGAAUGCGCGUGACCGAUCCGGAAACGGAUUUUCCCUUCGGGGCACAAAGCAAGGUGCUGCAUGGCUGUCGUCAGCUCGUGCCG